rnacentral:rRNA from 1 species
CCCUUAGAUGUUCUGGGCUGCACGCGCGCUACACUGAUGCGUUCAACGAGUGUAUCACCUUGCCCGAUAGGGUUGGGUAAUCUUUUGAACACGCAUCGUGAUGGGGAUAGAUUAUUGCAAUUAUUAAUCUUCAACGAGGAAUUCCUAGUAAUGAUGAAUCAUCAGUUCAUCGUGAUUACGUCCCUGCCCUUUGUACACACCGCCCGUCGCUCCUACCGAUUGAAUGUUCCGGUGAGCUCUUCGGACUGCGCGGUCUGCAGUUUCUGCGUUCCGUGCGGAAAGUUGUGCAAACCUUAACAUUUAGAGGAAGGAGAAGUCGUAACA